CUUAUGGGCUUUUUCACGUCGUGAAAGGAAAUAACCAACGUAUGUUUUACAUGUCGAAUCUCGGAUACGUAGUAUUCCGCAGACAUUUUUACGGCGUUAAAGGCAUCACGUCAGUUAAUAAUUAUGAUCUAAGGUGUAUACGCGGCUUUAAUAUGUCACAUGACGGCGUUCAAUGUAUUGUCAAACUCUCAAGGAAAUAACAUUUUGGCAGCCACUGAUUUUUCAAUUUGAUUCAUAAUACGUGGUGACCUUUGAACCCGCACGAUAAGAGCGAAGGCGACUAUAUAAACGUUACUGUUAAUAAAUCAACUGGUUAUUAAUGUUUGGUGAAAAUUGCCCUUUACAAGCAACUACCCAGCUGUGGACCGAUAUUCCAUAUCAAAAUGAGGUCACCGAUGACGAGGAGACGAUGCGAACGAAGGUACCUAUGUCGGUAGAACAAUGGAAUGUAGUAAUGAAGAAUUUUAAUUCGCUAUAUGGAAUUUUCCUAAGAACUGUUGUAGGGCGAUGGAUGGAAAGCAUGUGAUUAUACGCUGUCCUCAAAAUACCGGUUGCUGACUAUAAUUUCUUAUACGAAGAUGUGGGCACCAAUGGAAGAGUCAAUGAUGCAUCAGUGUUUUCAAUGUCAUUAAUUAAUGAGGCAUUAGAGAAAAAUCUUCUUAAUAUACCCCCAGAAGGAGUAUUUGUUGCGGAUGAUGCCUUCCCUUUGCGAACCGAUAUAUUGAAACCUUAUGCCAGAAACAGAUCCAGAAACAGAUAAAAAAUAUUUAAUUAUAGACUGUCCCGUGCAUCGUGGAAAAUUUUUUCGGCAUACUGGUCACCAGAUUUCGCAUAUUUGAAAAGCCUGUCUCGUUAUAUCACUCAACAUGUCAACAGACUGUUAAAACAACUUGCGCUGUAUACAACUGGCUUCGAAAAACGUCAAAUCUUAAGCGAUUAUAACAAAAUAUAACUAUAUAGGCAACAAAAGACUCUGUUGGUACAGAAGAUUGGGACACCUAUAGUAUUAAUUUAGGAACAUGGAGAAAUACAAAGCAUGGAGGACUUGUUGAUGUAACACAUUCUUCAAGCAACAACUAUAAAAAAAACAGCGGCACAAAAUUAGGCACGUAAAUAUCAGGUGGGAUCUGCCAGUGCCACUUUUUUCUGACUUAAGUACCUUAUUUAGUUCUGCCAUAUAUCUUGUUCGAAUACAUUUUAUUUUUAAUUUAAUAUCAUUUUCUGAAAAAUCCAGAAUAUUUAAUUCUGAUAAGAAGGACUUCAUUGCCUUAUCUAUCAAUAAACGAUUUUUAUAUCUU